rnacentral:rRNA from 1 species
GUCUUUUUGAUAAUAAUUUAAAGUUUGGCCUGCCCAAUGAUAGUAUUUAAUGGCCGCAGUAUUUUGACUGUGCAAAGGUAGCAUAAUCAUUAGUUUUUUAAUUGAAAGCUUGUAUGAAAGGUUUGAUGAGAAAAUUUCUGUCUCAAUUUAAAGUUAAUAGAAAUUUAUUUUUAAGUUAAAAAGCUUAAAUAAUUAUAGAAGACGAGAAGACCCUAUAGAGUUUGAUAUUUCUAUUAGUUAAUUAAUUUUAGUAUUUUAAGUUUAACUAAUAAUUUUAUUUAAUUGGGGCGAUUUAAAAAUUAAUUUAACUUUUUUUAUAAAAAAUCAUUUAUUUAUGAAUAGUUGAUCCUUAUUUAAAAGAUUAAAAGAAUAAAUUACCUUAGGGAUAACAGCGUUAUUUUUUUUGAGAGUUCUAAUCGAAAAAAAAGUUUGCGACCUCGAUGUUGGAUUAAAAUAAAGUAUAGGUGUAGAGGCUUAUAUUUUGGGUCUGUUCGACCUUUAAAAUUUUACAUGAUCUGAGUUUAAACCGGUGUAAG